rnacentral:rRNA from 1 species
GGGUCAGGAUGAACGCUAGCGGCAGGCGUAAUACAUGCAAGUCGGACGGGAUCCAUCGGUAGCUUGCUACCGAUGGUGAGAGUGGCGCACGGGUGUGUAACGCGUGAGCAACCUGCCCAUAUCAGGGGGAUAGCCCGGAGAAAUCCGGAUUAACACCGCAUGACACUGCUUUCCGGCAUCGGGAGGUAGUCAAAUAUUCAUAGGAUAUGGAUGGGCUCGCGUGACAUUAGCUAGUUGGUGGGGUAACGGCCCACCAAGGAGACGAAGUCUAGGGGAUAUGAGAGGAGAAUCCCCCACACUGGUAAUGAGACACGGACCAGACUCGUACGGGAGGCAGCAGUAAGGAAUAUUGGUCAAUGGGGGCAACCCCGAACCAGCCAUGCCGCGUGCAGGACGACUGCCCUAUGGGUUGUAAACUGCUUUUGUUAGGGAAUAAACC